rnacentral:rRNA from 1 species
CCUACGGGCGGCAGCAGUGAGGAAUAUUGGUCAAUGGACGAGAGUCUGAUCCAGCCAAGUAGCGUGAAGGAUGACUGCCCUAUGGGUUGUAAACUUCUUUUAUAAAGGAAUAAAACGAGGCACGUGUGCCUCUUUGCAUGUACUUUAUGAAUAAGGAUCGGCUAACUCCGUGCCAGCAGCCGCGGUAAUACGGAGGAUCCGAGCGUUAUCCGGAUUUAUUGGGUUUAAAGGGAGCGUAGAUGGGUUGUUAAGUCAGUUGUGAAAGGUUGGGGCUCAACCGUAAAAUUGCAAUUGAUACUGGCAGUCUGGAGUACAGGUGAGGUAAGCGGAAUUCGUGGUGUAGCGGUGAAAUGCUGAGAUAUCACGAAGAACCCCGAUUGCGAAGGCAGCUUACUAAACUGGAACUGACAUUGAUGCUCGAAAGUGUGGGUAUCAAACAGGAUUAGAUACCCGAGUAGUC